CCACCUAACAAUUUAAAAUGUGGAUGAAAUUGAGAUCACUGUUAACAGUAACCUCAGUUACCUAAGAAUAUACAUUUCUUCUGUCUUCAGUAUUAUGUAUUUUCCAGGCACAUAGUGCCUAUGUUACCUUCAGCUGUUAUAGAAAUACUGUAUAUAUAAAAAAUGACAUAAAAUACAUUUUACAUCAUAAUUUAACAUCUAGAAAUUGGGACUUUUCUUGCAUUCAGCACAUCAUCACUUUGCCGCUCAAGAAGACCUUUAAUAAGGCUGCAGCUCCAACAAUGAGCUUUUUAGACAUAGACUUGGUAAAACAAAGAUUUUUACACCGUCGACAUGCAAGAUUAAAGGAUUUCUCAAACUUUCACAACAGAAUUGAGGCAACACUCCAGUGCAGCUACAUUGAAUGAAUAUCAGUCAGAUGACAGACAUUGAAACAUUUUACAAACUGCUGGUUGCUUCUGUUCUCUGUGAUUGUCGAUGACGAAGAGAAGAUUGUGAAAGACUUGGAACAGUGGUCCAUCAUGUACCACAAUCAUUUCUCUAUUCAAAGAUUCAAGGAUGGCCUUUCAACCCUGGAUUUCAUUUUUGCUUUGGAGCUUCAAUUUCUAAGUCCACCAUGUUUUCUAGUCUUGUGUAGUUUUCCACACAGGAUUCACCAAGUCAGUGGAUGCACUGGGCCACUGUCUCUGGAGGUCCUCAAACUGUCCCUAAAGACGGUCAUGGCCACAUUGACUGCUGUUGGACUCGGUCAUAAAUUCCCAGUUUCUCCUGGGAAUCUGGGAACCCACAGCCUAUUCUGCCAAACUGAGGAGUAAAAUAUGUACAAGACACAUAGCUUGGUUAUUUAUUGACAUUUGUUCAUUCAACUGUGACUUGAAACUGUAAUAACUAUUGUUGAAAAAUGUUGUAAUGCUUAAUUGUAUUUAUGU